rnacentral:lncRNA from 1 species
UUUUUUUUUUUUUUUUUUUUUUUUUUUUUUUGUGUUAGGAUUGGAUUUAAGAUUUAAACCUUCAGCAUAGAGGACACCUUCAGGCUGUACAAGAUGGUUAGGCUCUUGUCUGGAUUAUUCCUGGGAAGGUGGAGUUUAGUUCCCUUUUUCUUGUAUCAGCAGCGGUAUUUUGGUGGAUCUACUCAACUUCUGUUUUCUGUAGCCUCUUCCAGGGCUCUUUAAAGUAUUUUUAUUGAGAAGCAGAGUGUAUUUCCCCCCUGGAUCUGUUUUUCUUUGCCCUUUUCUUUAGCUCUGUGCUGUGGGCACAUGCAGGUGGAUGUCAGGAUACUGGCUAAGCUGUGAUAGGCUGUGUCAAUGAUAAGGACACACAAUGAUCUGUCCAAGAACAAACUGAAGGAGUCAGAAACUUUAUGAUGACCAAAAACCAGGAUAAGAGAUGACCUCUGAUGAUGAUACAGAAGACAUAGUGUUUAAUUUAAAAACAAAAUGCAUCCAGCUUUAUCUGGUCCUGCCCCCCACCAGCAUGAAGAGAAAAUAGGCUUUAUUUUGGGACAAUUGCCCAAGCUGGAGCCAGAAAUUACCCAAAUUUUGGUUAAGCUUUGGAAAUUUCUAUCAGCUCUUAUCUCUCCCUCAUCCUCAUCUUCUAUGUAAUAGCAGUCUGUCAGUCUAGCAGAGCUGGUUUGUAAUUCAUACAGCAAAUGGUGAGGAAGAUACCUCUUGUAUCUUGGUUUCACAAAUUAAAAGUAUCUUCUUGAAACCAGUACACUACAUAAUCUUGGUCCAGGUUGUUUGCUUUUUCUUUUCUUUUGUUUCUCUUCACUUGGGCAUAGAUACUGGCAAUUCAUGUGUAAAGGACUCUGAGAAUCAGAAGUGGUAUUUUGAUGUCUCACUGCCAUCCAAACAGCCAGAUGAAGACAUGUUUGUAGAAAGACAGCAUGGGAGAAAUUUUUUCUGCCUUUCUACUUGUGGGCAAUGGAUGACACUUUUAGUGCUCGGUUUAUUCCCUUUGUGAAUUUUUUUUAAAUGGAAAAACUAUGACUUUUGGUUGGGCUAACUUGAGUAUGGUUUUACUGAAGUCUAGUAGGGAUAAAAUGCAGUGUUUCUGUAGUGAUGUUCUUGAAAAGUUGAGCAAUAAGACUCCUACUGGAAAUACACUAGUGAUGUUGGAAGAUCCUGCGUUCUUCCUUAAGGGAAGGUGGGAACACAGUUUCUCUUGUUACCAUUGACAGAAAACAGUGCUCUCUGAGCACUGUGGACAGCUCUUGUGAACUGUGCACUGCACAGCCAGCUUGGCAAAGUGCUCUGUCUGGGCUAAAGCCUUCAGCCUCUUUAGACUCUGGGCUGCUGCAGGUAUCACUGUGUGGCUUUUCAGAGGGUGGUGGAGGUUCACUUAUAGCUGCUAGAAGUUCAGCUCUGUCUGAAAUAUGGCCUCUUGCUACA